UACAGAGGUCUCAAGCGUUGUUCGGAUUCAUUGGGCGUAAAGGGUGCGUAGGCGGCGCGGUAAGUCGGGUGUGAAAUCUCGGGGCUUAACUCCGAAACUGCAUUCGAUACUGCGGUGCUUGAGGACUGGAGAGGAGACUGGAAUUUACGGUGUAGCAGUGAAAUGCGUAGAUAUCGUAAGGAAGACCAGUGGCGAAGGCGGGUCUCUGGACAGUUCCUGACAGCUGAGACACGAAGGCCAGGGGAGCAAACGGG
rnacentral:rRNA from 1 species